rnacentral:tRNA from 1 species
AGCAGAGUGGCGCAGCGGAAGCGUGGCUGGGCCCAUAACCCAGCGGUCGAUGAUCGAAACCCAUCCUCUGCUA